rnacentral:rRNA from 1 species
UACGUAGGGUGCAAGCGUUGUCCGGAAUUAUUGGGCGUAAAGAGCUCGUAGGCGGUUUGUCGCGUCUGCUGUGAAAACCCGAGGCUCAACCUCGGGCCUGCAGUGGGUACGGGCAGACUAGAGUGCGGUAGGGGAGACUGGAAUUCCUGGUGUAGCGGUGAAAUGCGCAGAUAUCAGGAGGAACACCGGCGGCGAAGGCGGGUCUCUGGGCCAUAACUGACGCUGGGGAGCGAAAGCGUGGGGAGCGAACAGG